AUUGAACGCUGGCGGCAGGCCUAACACAUGCAAGUCGAACGGUAACAGGAAGAAGCUUGCUUCUUUGCUGACGAGUGGCGGACGGGUGAGUAAUGUCUGGGAAACUGCCUGAUGGAGGGGGAUAACUACUGGAAACGGUAGCUAAUACCGCAUAACGUCGCAAGACCAAAGAGGGGGACCUUCGGGCCUCUUGCCAUCGGAUGUGCCCAGAUGGGAUUAGCUAGUUGGUGGGGUAACGGCUCACCAAGGCGACGAUCCCUAGCUGGUCUGAGAGGAUGACCAGCCACACUGGAACUGCGACACGGUCCAGGCUCCUACGGGAGGCAGCAGUGGGGAAUAUUGCACAAUGGGCGCAAGCCUGAUGCAGCCAUGCCGCGUGUAUGAAGAAGGCCUUCGGGUUGUAAAGUACUUUCAGCGGGGAGGAAGGGAGUAAAGUUAAUACCUUUGCUCAUUGACGUUACCCGCAGAAGAAGCACCGGCUAACUCCGUGCCAGCAGCCGCGGUAA
rnacentral:rRNA from 1 species